rnacentral:rRNA from 1 species
AGUUUGAUCAUGGCUCAGGACGAACGCUGGCGGCGUGCCUAAUACAUGCAAGUCGAGCGGACAGAAGGGAGCUUGCUCCCGGAUGUUAGCGGCGGACGGGUGAGUAACACGUGGGUAACCUGCCUGUAAGACUGGGAUAACUCCGGGAAACCGGAGCUAAUACCGGAUAGUUCCUUGAACCGCAUGGUUCAAGGAUGAAAGACGGUUUCGGCUGUCACUUACAGAUGGACCCGCGGCGCAUUAGCUAGUUGGUGGGGUAAUGGCUCACCAAGGCGACGAUGCGUAGCCGACCUGAGAGGGUGAUCGGCCACACUGGGACUGAGACACGGCCCAGACUCCUACGGGAGGCAGCAGUAGGGAAUCUUCCGCAAUGGACGAAAGUCUGACGGAGCAACGCCGCGUGAGUGAUGAAGGUUUUCGGAUCGUAAAGCUCUGUUGUUAGGGAAGAACAAGUGCGAGAGUAACUGCUCGCACCUUGACGGUACCUAACCAGAAAGCCACGGCUAACUACGUGCCAGCAGCCGCGGUAAUACGUAGGUGGCAAGCGUUGUCCGGAAUUAUUGGGCGUAAAGGGCUCGCAGGCGGUUUCUUAAGUCUGAUGUGAAAGCCCCCGGCUCAACCGGGGAGGGUCAUUGGAAACUGGGAAACUUGAGUGCAGAAGAGGAGAGUGGAAUUCCACGUGUAGCGGUGAAAUGCGUAGAGAUGUGGAGGAACACCAGUGGCGAAGGCGACUCUCUGGUCUGUAACUGACGCUGAGGAGCGAAAGCGUGGGGAGCGAACAGGAUUAGAUACCCUGGUAGUCCACGCCGUAAACGAWGAAUGCUAAGUGUUAGGGGGUUUCCGCCCCUUAGUGCUGCAGCUAACGCAUUAAGCCACUCCGCCUGGGGAGUACGGUCGCAAGACUGAAACUCAAAGGAAUUGACGGGGGCCCGCACAAGCGGUGGAGCAUGUGGUUUAAUUCGAAGCAACGCGAAGAACCUUACCAGGUCUUGACAUCCUCUGACAACCCUAGAGAUAGGGCUUUCCCUUCGGGGACAGAGUGACAGGUGGUGCAUGGUUGUCGUCAGCUCGUGUCGUGAGAUGUUGGGUUAAGUCCCGCAACGAGCGCAACCCUUGAUCUUAGUUGCCAGCAUUCAGUUGGGCACUCUAAGGUGACUGCCGGUGACAAACCGGAGGAAGGUGGGGAUGACGUCAAAUCAUCAUGCCCCUUAUGACCUGGGCUACACACGUGCUACAAUGGACAGAACAAAGGGCUGCAAGACCGCAAGGUUUAGCCAAUCCCAUAAAUCUGUUCUCAGUUCGGAUCGCAGUCUGCAACUCGACUGCGUGAAGCUGGAAUCGCUAGUAAUCGCGGAUCANCAUGCCGCGGUGAAUAC